rnacentral:tRNA from 1 species
AAGUAAAAAGCGAAUCGCACUUAGUUUCGGCCUAAGCCUUGAUAUUAAUUUAUCUUUACUUG